AGAGUUUGAUCCUGGCUCAGGAUGAACGCUGACAGAAUGCUUAACACAUGCAAGUCUUUGGCGAAUCUGUGCUUGCACAGCCUAGCCAAGGCGGACGGGUGAGUAACGCGUAAAGAACUUGCCCUGCAGACAGGGAUAACAGACGGAAACGACUGAUAAUACCUGAUACAAUUGCCAGCACGCAUGUGCCCGGCAAUGAAAAGUGAUGCUGCAGGAGAGCUUUGCGUCCUAUUAGCUUGUUGGUGAGGUAACGGCUCACCAAGGCGAUGAUAGGUAGCCGGCCUGAGAGGGUGAACGGCCACAAGGGGACUGAGAUACGGCCCUUACUCCUACGGGAGGCAGCAGUGGGGAAUAUUGGACAAUGGGGGCAACCCUGAUCCAGCAAUUCUGUGUGCACGAAGAAGGUUUUCGGAUUGUAAAGUGCUUUCAGCAGGGAAGAAGGAAGUGACGGUACCUGCAGAAGAAGCGACGGCUAAAUACGUGCCAGCAGCCGCGGUAAUACGUAUGUCGCGAGCGUUAUCCGGAAUUAUUGGGCAUAAAGGGCAUCUAGGCGGCCCUGUAAGUCUAGGGUGAAAACCUGCGGCUCAACCGCAGGCCUGCCCCGGAAACUACAGGGCUAGAGUGCUGGAGAGGUGGACGGAACUGCACGAGUAGAGGUGAAAUUCGUAGAUAUGUGCAGGAAUGCCGAUGAUGAAGAUAGUUCACUGGACGGUAACUGACGCUGAAGUGCGAAAGCUAGGGGAGCAAACAGGAUUAGAUACCCUGGUAGUCCUAGCUGUAAACGAUGAUUACUGGGUGUGGGCAUGAAGAGUGUCCGUGCCGAAGCUAAUGCGAUAAGUAAUCCGCCUGGGGAGUACGGCCGCAAGGCUGAAACUCAAAGGAAUUGACGGGGACCCG
rnacentral:rRNA from 1 species